CAGGAAAAAGAUGAGAGAAGAUGAGGAAUCACGCUGCUAGCAGAUUCUGGCUUUUCUAGAAGCUGCACAAUAAGCAGGCUGCUAUGGAGAAGUUGGAAAAGGCCAAGCCACUGUGAGCACUUAGGAAAUAUGGAAAGAAGAGCCUUAAGCUGUCCCCUGGGUAGAGUGC